CUAUCUCUCUUCUUAAGCAAAAGCUUCUCACAGAUCCAGCCUGGAGGAGCAGCGCCUGCCUAGGCACCGAAGCUCAGAGAUGAAGGCUUUCUUCCUCCUCCUCCUUUUCUGCCUUGGGGCCCUGAUCGAGAUCGAGGCUUCCACUGCACUCUCACCAACCACAAAUCCUGCCACCAGCUCAUCCCAGAUGCUCCAUGGACCCUACACCUGGAGCAUCCUCAUCCUCGCCGGGGUCCUCGCUUACCUCUUUCGGCUGCACUGAGGCCUGGACGAGGCUACAGAGACUGCCAGCCUUGGCCCCUGCUCACCCACUCUUCAGGACCAGCCUCCUCUCCCUGAGGGCCCAUUCCUCUUGGCUACCAUAGACUUCUUCUCAUCGGCACCUCCCUCCCUCCCCAGCUGAGCAUCCCAUGGCCUCCUCGGGAGCUCUGAUGCCCAGCAUAGCACCUGUCAGCGAGGGUCAUGGAUUUAUUUCCUUAAUACUCCAAGGGUUAUAGUGAUGAGAGAGCAAAGCACUGACCUGCUUGACUCAAUAAAGUUAUUAAAGCCCUGA